rnacentral:misc_RNA from 1 species
UGCCAAACUCAACUUGAAGUGAAUUUUUUCAUUAAUAUUUCAUGAACGUAAAAAUCGUAUACAAUUAAGAAUCAUUGUAUGUGCUGCUUAUAUACAAAUCUAACCAAUAACAACAGAGAAUGUAGUUGUCGAUUAUUCUACCGACAAAAAUGAAAAACCUGCUGUACAUAAAUGGACGAAAAAGCAGAUGCUGACAGGAAAGAAACCAGACGUCUAUGUUAAGUUCUCCACAUCAAUUUCCAGUUGGAGAAAUAUAUGUGAUUUAUACUUAACUAAUCGAUGGUAACAUUGGGUCCAUACCAAGCCCAGAUCCCCCAAAGCUACCAGGCUCGGCAUGCUUCACCCUACCAAAAUAGCGGAUGUGGCGCAAGAGCCUAGCCAGGAAGGUGUUGUGGCAUAUUGUUGAGCUAUCACAGAUGACUGCUACAUGUUUCCGUGCUCUUGUGAUGGCAACAUUCAUUCGCCUGCUGUCCCCGAGGAAUCCAACAGCUCCUAAAGUGUUUGAGCGGACCUAGUAAACGAAAGAAACAAGAAAUACAAUUUGUAAGUGAGUGAUACAAAAGUCAACUUUAUGUCGUGUAUUUAAGUGUUCAUAUUUUGUUCAUGAACUUCUAGCACUAUGCUACAGAAGAUUGCAUUUAAUUGCCAUUUAUUGUGGAAACAAAAUAUAAAUGUGAAAUUGCAUGAUUAUAAUCCAAAGCCACUACCAACUCUGGAUAAUGAUUUCAAUUAAGAUACUGAUGGAUUAAGGACUGACGGACUGUAGCCAUGAAAAAAUAGAGCUACAAAAAUUACAUAAGCCUAUUCAAUUCAUAAGCAUGACUAUACCUCAUGAAGGCAAUAAUGACCCAAAACAAUUAAACAAUAGAUUAUCUUCAAAUUUCUAAAGCAUGCCAAAGUUGGAAAUUCAUGUAGAAAGAAAAAUGAAAUAUUUUUUGGAUGAUAACAUGGGACACCCAAUGUAACUAAUGCACCAGCAUGGGAACUAUACCAUUGAUAUGAUUACUGCAUCAGCCUCACGACCUUGGAAGCUGUCAAUGGUUGCAACCUCAACACCAGCCGCCUCUGGAAGUUCAUCGAGCCUCUCCCUCAAGAGUUGUACUUGAGCAACAUAAGGUGAUUGAACCGCAAUAGUUGUUGGUCCAAUCCCUGCAUGAUAGAUUCAGCAAAAACAAAUUUACCUCAAUUAGCCUCCAAAAAAACUAGAACAACUACAUAGUUAUGGUCCUGCAUAGGAUCCUGGGAAAGGUAGUUUAGAGAAUGCCUUAUUAAUUAGCAUAAUGAGAGUUAGUCUGAAAAACAAUAUGAAUAUGAAGGUCUGGAGAUUCAGAAGAAGUUAACAGCAUCAGUUAUCGAAAGCUUAUCCUUAAAAAUAGUGAGUGAAGGAUGGAAUGGAUCUCAGUGUACAACAAUGAACAAAACCACAUUGCUCAUAUAAAUUUAAGAAUCAAAUUUACAAUGAUUUUCACUUGUGCAACAUGUUAUAAUUCAAUGAAACUAAACAACUAGCAGCACCUAGCCAAAUAAGCAUCCAAGUCCAACAAGUACGCCACUUUCAAUGUUGCAACUUUUUAGUGCUUCCCAAUACGAAAUGCAAAAUGUACCAAUGGUAGGAUUAGUUCAUCAUUCAACAAAGUUUAGAUUAGCAAUGACAGUGCAAGAAUACAUGAGUACUUAAUUUAUAUACAGGAGGCAAGAGUAUUUACCUGCAUAAAUUAAGGAAAACACAUGUUCCACAACAAUUUCAGCUUCCCCUUCAUUGUAAAAUGAGCCUGUUCCAGCUGGGUCUAAAUGCUCUUCACAACCUACUGACAGACUUCCAUAUGGCAUUCUUGUGUCAAGUAACAGCAGGGGGCAUUGAGUUAUCCACGUAGGCUUAACAAAUGGAGAAUCUGCAAGAAGAUGUGAAGCAACUGAUGAAGAAGACUUCAACAAUCCACCAUACAUCUCCUUGGAGGCCCAACUGGCUAUCGCAUCAUUCAUACGGUAUUGUGUUGUUAACUUGGUUGCAAGGACCCCUUCAUGCAGGGCAGCAGCUCUUUCCAGUAGAGAGACACCAAGGCCACCCUGCAAGGCUUUUCUUGAUAGAAUAACAGGAGCAAGCUGGCAUUGAUCCCCAGCAAGAAUACAGCGUCUACCCUGCAAUAUUGGGAUCCACGAAGAAGGUUCUAUUGCCUGCCCUGCUUCAUCUAUAACAACCAGGUCAAAAGUAUCCAGCCUUCGGAUAAGUGGAUCAGCAGCUCCAGUGUUGGUUGCAAGCACUACCUGAGCACUUGACAGCACCUCCUUCACAGUCUCCUUCUCCUCCUUCUUCAAUGUCUUCCCAAGCUGUUUUAAAAGCUGACGAAUGCCAGCAGCUAAAGAAUCAUCCUCUAAACAAUGUCUCAGGUCUUUUCUCAGAUCAGACUUUUUCCUUUCAAACUCCAUCCGGAAUGUUGCAAGCUUAGAAUUAACUAUUUCACUCAAAGACUUUGAUGCCACAGCUGAAGAAAUACGUGCUGGAUUACCAACCCGCACAAUGUCUAACCCUAUAUUUGAAAGCUUUUCAACCAUAUUGUCAACAGCUGCAUUUGUAGGUGCUGUCACAAGCACCCUUUCACCUUGUUGAACAGCACGUAAAAUAAUUUCCUUGAGCAAACCUGACUUUCCCGUACCAGGAGGCCCUUCAAUUAUCAAUAAUGGCCGUUUCUUGUUCAAUCCUAAGGCAAUGGCCUUCUGCUGUGAAUUAUCAAACAUUGUACCACCCAAAGAUCCAUCCAAAUCUGCUUCAUCCCAGUCUGCUAAAUGAUUCUCCUCCAACCAUGCAACAUCUUCCUUGUCACCGAAUAAGGUAGCCACAACAGCAAUUGAGGGUUUUUUCUUAUGUAGACCAUUCUUCUGAAGCAGCAUCAGGGCCUCACAAUUACGCUUCAAAAGAAGAUUAUAAGCUAUUAAAUAGGCAUGCAAACUGCAGAGACCAUUGAAAAUAGAAUCUGAGUAGCAGAGAAAAGGGAAUAUUUAUGAUAUUUUAAGAUGUAACAAUGGAUCAACCCAGAAAAUCUGUUUGCAUUAGAAGCAAGAAGGCAUAAGGAAAAUAGACACAUUUGGUGUGCCUAAGAAUUACUAAAGUUGAUCAGAAACAGAUAAACCUGCCGCCUAUAACCUUGUCGCGACAACAGAAGUGGAAGUCUAAUUCAACAGAAAAUCUAUAUCCCAACUUAAAUAUGGUCAUAGAUGCACUAUAUGUUCUCAUCUGAAAAGUAAUUUUUGAAAUUCGCGGGAGAGCUUUUCCUGGGCACAUUAACGUUUCAAGGUUGCAUUUCUAUUAGACUGAUGCAGUGUUAAAUAUUCCCGUGUAUUAUAUGGGAAGUUUUAAACUUCUAAUGUAAAAGAAGAUGAUGUGAUAGUAAUUUGGACUCAAUCAUUUAAAUACUUUGAAAUACUAGUAGUAACUUUUUCAGGUUGAAAAAGCAGGUGCUCAACAAACAUGGAGCAUCAAGUUGAAGAACUACCAAUGAUAAUGGGUUAACUAUGUUGGCGUGAAUUGUCAAUAGGAAUAGAUUAGAGAAAUUAUAGGAUUAAUCAGUGUGUAAAUCUAUACUUUCCUUCCUUGUAUUAAGAUCCCUACUUUCAGGGGUCAGCCAUAUUUUUUGGCCUUAGAUCACGUAUAGCCAUAAAGUAGUUUUCCACUAUCUUCUUUGUUGUACCAGAAUAUAUGUACUCAACUCUGUAAUUGUGAAUAUAUGAAAAAGAGUACUUGUUAACAAACUAAGGGAUCAGAAGCAAACAAAAGAAAGAUAUAUAAGAAAACACUAAAAACCUGCGCAUUGCUAAGUUACUGCUGAAUGCUCCAGCUCUUAUAAAACCAGAGAAGCACAAAACCAGAGUUCUGGACCAUCUAUAUACAAAGGAUAAGGUAUGAUGGUGAAUAAAACAAGUUUAACACAAUUGGGAGACUUAACACGAAGAUGUUUGAAAAGAACCAACAAGAUGUGUUAAAUGUAAAGAACCUAUGUAAAAUGAAUUUACUUGAUGUCUUGAAAAUACUUGCAAGUACAUUAGAAGAAUGGCUAUAUAAGAUUUAUUUAUCAAAUACCUCAUAUGUGAGCGUAUCCGCUAAUCCAUAGAUACGAUCAAUGCGAACACUUUUGCCAAAAAGCUUAGAGAAGGUGGGAUCCCCAUGACGAGAUUCUAAAGCCACACUGAUGCUACAGCCAUCCUCCCCAAGGCUGUUCACAAAACCCUGCAUGCAAGAGGUUGCACCUGCACCCCUGCUAUCACAAAUCCUCACACAAACCAUGUCUCCAGGCGAAAGGGUAGUAGGUGGCAAUCGGUGAUUCCCUUCAGCCUUAAACAAUACUAGGUGCAUUCCUCCUAAUCCUGUAGAUGUGCUAACUGCAUGCAAGUUGCAGAUAGUGUCACAGAGCUCUUGCUGAACCUGACCAUGGCUAACCAAGAACUCAAUCGGUUUAGAUGAAUCAUAACUUUCAUCGCGCAUAGGAACAGCAUUCAACUCCUCCUGGGUGAACUCCAAUUCAGCAUCCCUCUCUAUACGGAGCAAUUCUGACAUUCUCUUGGUAAACUCAUCAAUCCUGCCCUGUAUUGCCUUAGCCUUCUCCAAGUUCAUCCCCAAAACUCCUUGCAAAGGCCUUGGUUGCCAAAUCUUCCGUGCCACUGCUCUGUGCUGAACUGAAUUGGCAAGCUCCUUGAGCAACUUCCAAGACUCGGUCUGUUGCCAGUUUUGAAAUAACCCUUUACGCUGUAGCUCUUGAAGAACAUCACGCAACUCCCUCUGGAAGUGAUCAAACAGGGUGGGAUAGUGAGUGCAGGCCUUCAAGCAAAGGGCUUCCAGACCCAAAGGAAUUGGAACAGCAUUAAUGUAAGGCUGCGCCUGAAUUACAAAAGUCAAGCCGGCCUCCAGCCCCAUCCUCUGCCUGAGCUCCGAGAACUCUCCCUGGGUCUCAGCGGAAGCAAAAUCCGUGGCCAUUGCUCUCAUUCCCUGGCUAAUCCAUUUCACUACGCUCUUCCCAAGAUCCCUCUGCCCCAGAGGAUCCCCGUUCUGAUGCAGAGCCCGAACGUUUAUCUUCAUAUUGACCUUCUUUUCACGCUCUUCUCGGACUAAAAUCUUUCCACCAUCUGUACUCCUACUAGUAUCAGUAGAUUUGCUGGUGUUUGAUUUGUGGACGCCAAUAUUUUUCUUGUUAACGAUUCUUCUCUUCUUGCUGGUAGUUUUAGGCUUGGUGGCGCCAUUGCUGCUAUUCCAAAUAAAAUGGUGAUCAAUUUGAAAUGUAGAUGGAGAAGAGUAUUUGGGAUUGAGGAAGAGCAAGUGGGAUUUGAAGGAUGAAGAGAAAACGAAGGAUUGCGAAUUGGGUAAUUGACGGGGGAGCCAAGGAAGACUCAAGCAGCUCGGUAUCUGCUUCAAUACAAAGCUUGCUUCCAUCUCACCUGGAACC